GAUGAAGAACGCAGCGAAAUGCGAUAAGUAAUGUGAAUUGCAGAAUUCAGUGAAUCAUCGAAUCUUUGAACGCACAUUGCGCCCACCAGUAUUCUGGCGGGCAUGCCUGUUCGAGCGUCAUUUCAACCAUCAAGCCCCCGGCUUGUGUUGGGGACCUGCGGCUGCCGCAGGCCCUGAAAAGCAGUGGCGGGCUCGCUGUCACACCGAGCGUAGUAGCAUACAUCUCGCUCUGGGCGUGCUGCGGGUUCCGGCCGUUAAACCACCUUCAUAACCCAAGGUUGACCUCGGAUCAGGUAGGAAGACCCGCUGAACUUAAGCAUAUCAAUAAGCGGAGGA
rnacentral:misc_RNA from 1 species